rnacentral:tRNA from 1 species
GCGCCGGUAGCUCAGGGGAUAGAGCAUCGGAUUUCUAAUCCGACGGUCGGGGGUUCGAAUCCUCCCCGGCGCG